rnacentral:rRNA from 1 species
UACGAGGGGGCGAGCGUUAAUCGGAAUUACUGAGCGUAAAGCGUGCGCAGGCGGUUUUGUAAGUCUGUCGUGAAAUCCCCGGGCUCAACCUGGGAACUGCAUCUGUGACUGUAUAGCUAGAGUACGGUAGAGGGGAUGGAAUUCCGCGUGUAGCAGUGAAAUGCGUAGAUAUGCGGAGGAACACCGAUGGCGAAGGCAAUCCCCUGGACCUGUACUGACGCUCAUGCGACGAAAGCGUGGGGAGCAAACAGG